rnacentral:miRNA from 1 species
UUCUCCCCUCAAUCUCAGGACU